GCCUGGCUGGCUCAGUUGGUAGGGCAUGUGACUCUUGAUCUUGGGGUUGUGAGUUCAAGCCCCAUGUUGGGCU
rnacentral:tRNA from 1 species